ACAUAAACAAAAGCUCUUUGGGGGUUC
rnacentral:piRNA from 1 species